UACGAAGGUCCCAAGCGUUAUCCGGAUUUAUUGGGUUUGAAGGGUGCGUAGGCGGACUGUUAAGUCAGUGGUGAAAGCUCCAUGCCUAACAUGGAAAAUGCCAUUGAUACUGACGGUCUUGAGUACAUUUGAAGUGGGCGGAAUGUGUCAUGUAGCGGUGAAAUGCUUAGAUAUGACACAGAACACCGAUUGCGUAGGCAGCUCACUAAACUGUAACUGACGCUGAGGCACGAAAGCGUGGGGAGCAAACAGG
rnacentral:rRNA from 1 species